UUCAACUAAAGUUGUAGUGUUGAGCUGAUUUAGCUAAGUGAGUGUGAAGUUUUACAUCAGUCUAGCAGUUCUUUUGCUAAACUGGUGCAAUCUCACACCUUUAGUAACAGUGAUGCCUCGUCUGUGCUUAGACCAUCUCUUCAAUCUAUUCGGGUGAGGACUGUGGUAUGUCUUGCUAGUCAGCACACGGCAGCCCUGCUGGCAGCCACCAAAGGCGCAAAGGCAGAGUGCCCUCAGAGCAUGGACAUGCCACACAGAUCAGGGCACAAGGUACCAGUGAGAGCGGCGGGAACCACGGCCCCACUUCAGGACACUGUUUCGGAAGGAAGCUCCCCCCGCCCCACGUUACACACACGCAGGGCAGGUGGGCGCCGCGGGGCGCUCUGGGCCUGGGCCCCAGGAUGUGGGGCUUGCUCUCCCACGGACUCUGACAGAUCAAGCUGGAGCAGCUUUGCGGGGAGGCUGAGGCCGUCCUGCCGCCGAGGUUCAGCAGGAAGGCCAACGACCGAAUGGGCUACGGAGACUGAAUUCCCCUUGAGGAGGUUUAUGCUGGGCAGGAGUGAGGCAAUAUUCUUGGCACAGCCACCCAGAUCCUGCAUCAGCUUUCUAGAUGCCCUUCACCUGCGGGGAGCAGAACAUGGCCAUGCUUGUUCCCAAUAUGUCUGUCCUGUUCUUUCUGAUUAAGAUGAAGCAGUUGACUAAGGAGACCAAAUACAAGGCCAUUGGAUUGUUACGCACAGGCAGGGCAAGCUUUAGAAGACAAAUCUGCUAGAGGUGCCAGACUGGAAAGAGGGACUCCUGUCUCAGGCCAGCCGAGGAACACCAUCUCUAUGCAAAGGAACUUUUCGGUAUCUGGUGACUGAACAGCAUAUCAGUGAAUGGAAGGGGCUAGUGAACUAGAGGAGGCUGUUAUAAGUCAGCUCUGCCCUGGAAUCUGACUCACCCUCUAGAAUUUUUAUUGCUUGAAAACUUUUCAAGCAUCACCAGCCAGGAGUAGGUGAACAUUUGGGCAAAUAUUCGUAAGAUGCUGAACUAGGAUGCAGACACUUACCAGCUGUGGAACCGACCCUUCUCCCUCCCUCCCCACACCCUGGACAGCACAGACAUCCUGUACAGCAUGCCACAACCAGACAGAGGCCCAGCAAACCAACUGUAGCCACCCACAAGGAGCUCUGUUUGUCUGCCCCAGCCAUUGGGAUAUAUAAUCCUGAUAGCUUGGGAAAUGCAAGCAGCAAUGAAACUCGAAACAGUGUUCUGGCAUGACACAGUUACAAACAGAGCAUUAUAUGCAGAAAUGUGCACUUGUGCUUGCUAAGGCUCUGACCCUAAUCCCUUUUUCGAAGAAGAAGCAUGCAUUUAGAAGAAAAUAGUUGCUAGCUAUCUGUUUGAAUCCUCCCCUGGUCCCUCUUGCUUGGAAUCCAUCUUGGACCCCAAGUGGCAUGGGGCCGGGAAAUGGCUUGGCUUAAGCCCUUAACAGAAGCGAAAUCCAGCCUCCUGCAUGUCAUUUCUUCCCAAACAAUAAUUGCAUUGGUCAGAGCCCAGCAAAUCCUCCCAUUAAUGCUGUGAUUCCAAAAACUAAAUAUAGCAGGUGCCACUUAUCAGGCUCUGGGUCCUGCUGCAUUGCCACAUCCUCACCAGCCCCAUCCCUAAACAGGUCUUCUGAAUAUGGGCCCCCAGCCAACUGCCCACAUGGCCUGGAGUCCACUCCUGAACCGCCAGCCCCUUUGCCACUAGGUUCUCCUCUGGUGGUGUCCCAGUCCUCUCUGCCUCUGCUCUGAAAAAACAUAUAGUCCCAACUCAGGAGAUGGUCACGCCUGACUGUGGGCUCUAUGCUGGGGGCAGUUGCCAGCAUCUGGCUGAGUUCCUCAUACUAGGGCAGGUAGCUGGGAAGUUCCCAGACUUACCAUUCCCAUUCUUUGCCCUGUGGUAGGUGGAAUUGAGGUGUUUAAUCCUCUCCCUGCACCACCCAGCAGUUUUGUUGAUCUCCAACACUGCUGGGCUCUUGGAGAUUGUCAUAGAAAUGCAGGUUUCUGCUGAUUCUGCCAAAAGUCUGUGGGGAUUAAAACAGACUGAUUCACAUUUAGCCCCAAUGGAAUUAAGGGAUAGACCCACUCUUCCUGUCGCUUCACUAUGGUUAACACAAAGGCAGUAAUGGUGGCAUUGGUAAUUGAAAAUGAAAAAUUUACCAGCCUCUACCAAUCCUGAUGUCUUUGCUCAAAGGGAGUAGUGGAAUUUUCCCAGAGAGCUUUUCUUAUCUCUACAGGAAGGACUCCAUUUAAACCUUCUCUAAUAAUGUUUGUAGCUAUUCCUAGAACCCAGUACUGUGCCUGGAUACAUGAAAGAGCCAUGGACACAUUUGACUGCAACACAUUGAGAGCAUUAACGAUGUGAGGGUGGUCUACCUGUUGCACCUGUAACCAGCCAGGUAAUACAUUUGCUAUCUUGUAUUCCAUAACGCUGAGAUGAUUGAAAGAGGUGAUUAAGGGAUGCGAUAAGGAGGCCAUAUCUUGACCUAUCGCCCCAAUUUUACUUGCUAGAACCUCUUUAUCUAUGGUGUUUAAGACAAUCAAUCCUGUGCCCACCAGUCCUAGAAUGAUAGCUACUGUAUCCCUCCCCUGAUAUUUGGGCUGCUUUGGGAGUACACUAUCUAGCCAAGCAUACUACCCAACACGUAAUGUGAAGACAUAAGGUGCACAUUUGGGCUGCACUAAUGACAAAUCUAACCGCAGAGGUAUAAUAACCUUUUUCAAGGCGUACAUGGGAUUUACCAUUAACAACUUUUUCACGUCCCUUUUUACCACUACAGGCCCAAUAAUAAUUUUCUGUGGUUGAGGAACCACUACAAUUUCUUUGACCAUCGUAGUCCCAUACAGACUUGUAACUGUCCAGUUACCGGUGUCAUUAACAUUAACAUUGAUUUUAACAUUUCCAGUACACUUUACAUGAAAUGUGACAUUUUUUCUGCCACAAAACUGGUUUAACCCUUGACAGUUAUCUAAACAAGUUUUAUUAUGCAUUACACAUUGCAACUCACUUUCAUAGCUCUUAGUGGGGGUGACCAAAUUAAUUUCAAUAGAUUCCAAGUAAUACUGCAGGCCCUUUACUACAUUGAUAUUUCUGGCUUCUACCCGAAUCCAUUGACCAACCUUGAGCUCAAUGUAUGAACAUUUGGAGGAGUUUGCAGUCGUUGCCACAAUAGUGCAAUUAUUCAUAAAAUUGUCAUUGAGGAACCAAAUACAUUCAACAUCAGAUUUUUGGAUAAAGGGGAAUAUCUCUCCAUUACCCUCUGACAUGGUUACAUUUUGUUCCCCUGCUUUCUCCGUAAAGGAAAGGACACUUUCCCCAGUGGCUUUUACCUCCCACACUGUGUAACAGUCUGUGAAUUGUUCAUACGAGUACACCCACACCUUUCCUUUAAACUGGAGAGGAUCCAGUCUGAUACAUAACUUUCAUUAGCCAUGCAAGUGAGAUGGUCUCCAUUUCUAACAACUACAGAGUCUGACAUAUGUAACAAUACACAAGAACAGAUCCAGGUAUACAUUCUGUAGUCGUUCCUAAAAGAAAAAGGAAAGAAAAGAAUAAAUACUAUACUGUUCUCUACACUUAAGUUACAAAGCCUUUCCAGGUCUUUAACUGGCUGGAAUGGAACCAUUUCAGCACUCUAUUUUUCUUUCCUUUAAUUUCCACUUGAUACACAGUAGGACUUGCUUUAUUAGUUAUAACUACAGGUCCCAACCAUUCUGGGCUCAAAACAUGCUUCUUCUCUGAAAAGAACCUCUACAACACCCUGUCACCUAUAUUCAAUUCUUUAGGACUUAGUACAUUUUGUAGUCUUUGGUCCAUAUGCUUUACAUUACUUUUUAAAUUGAUUACCACUUGCAUUUGGAUAGUGAUCUUUGUUCAGUACCCCCCCCCCCCCCAGCCCCUUCUAAAAUACUAAUCAGAUAAAAUUAAUAACCACACGCCCACUGGGCAUGCUUUUGAGACAUGUGACUCCUUUGGGGGAAAAGAGUAUAAGAAUCAAGCAAAGUAAAUUACUGUUAGAGAGAGUUGGGGGA